GCCGCCGCUCGUCACCCGCCAAAAACAUCCCGCUUUGAAGUGUGAAAUAAAGUACCCGUUGUGUUUAAACAUCUUUUGUUUAGUUGUGCAAUCCUGCAAUAUGGGUCCGUUAACGCAGCAAAUGUGGAGAAUGCGCCGACGUCGUCGACGUUACCUCCUCCUCCUGACGGAGACAGACAAUGCUAGGCCUCCUUUCUCUUAAGCUGUAUUUUGAUGGCCAGAGUGACCUGCGGGUUGACUUCCGCUUGACAAGGGGGUCUUUUGACCGCCCUUAUGGAAGCCAUGGGGAGCAACGCAGACCACGGCUGGGAUCCGGAGAUCGCCUGCCUGGUCUUCCUGUUCUGGUUGGCCAGUGGUACAUCGUACCGUGUCGUCUCCCGGGCCUUUGACAUGCCCAGAACAUCUGUCCACCGUGCCGUCCACACCACCAGUGCGAAGAUUGCCUCCCUGUUCGCGCAACAGGUCCACCAUCCCACAGAGGAGGAGUUGGUGACCGUGGGCGCAGGAUUUGCGCACAUGCCAGGGUCGGCGGCCUUCAACAGGAUGGUGGGGAGCAUUGACGGCUGCCCCUUCACAGGAUGCCGACUGCUACCUGAACCGUAAACUUUUUUAUUCGGUUCAGCUUCAGGCUGUGGUUGACCACACAGCAAAAUUCAUAGAUGUGUGUGUGGGGUACACCGGGUCAGUGCAUGACUCGAGGGUACUAAAGAACAGCCCCCUGUACCUAGAGAAGCAGUACCCUCCACCAGGGUACUGCCUCAUCAGGGAUGGUGGGUACCCCUGCCUGUCCUACCCCAUGACCCUGAUGACCCCUACCGUCAGCCUCUCAGGAGCCAGCUGCAGGCAGCCUACAACAGCCGGCUGACAAAGGCCCGAGUGGUGGUGGAGCGGGCCUUUGGGAUCUUGAAGACCAUAUGGAGGGCCAUAUUUCUGAAGGUGCUGGAGGUGGACGUCCUGUUCGUCCCGGAGGUCAUCCUCUGCUGCACCAUAGUACACAAUAUUUGCCUGAGCCAGGGCGACGUGCUGGACCCUGAGGACGGCGAGGACAACGAGGCUGGAGCAGCAGAGGAAGAGGAUCCAGGACGGGAGGCAGCACCCCCAGGCACCGUCUCUGGAGCUGGGGAGAGAUACAGAAUGGCAGCGCUGUGUUAUGCACCUGACCACGAUUACGUUGAAUGAAAUAAUUUUGCCAAUUUCAACACCUGUGUAUGAACGAUUUAAUUAUCAAAACAUUCAAAACAACAGGAACAUAACAUAAAUGAUUUGAACACCUG
ensembl:lncRNA